rnacentral:rRNA from 1 species
UACGGGGGGGGGCAAGCGUUGUUCGGAAUUACUGGGCGUAAAGCGUGCGUAGGCGGUUUCAUAAGCUUGAUGUGAAAGCCCCGGGCUCAACCUGGGAAUGGCAUUGAGGACUGUGGAGCUAGAGUGCGGCAGAGGGAGGUGGAAUUCCACGUGUAGCAGUGAAAUGCGUAGAGAUGUGGAGGAACACCGAUGGCGAAGGCAGCCUCCUGGGCCGACACUGACGCUGAGGGCACGAAAGCGUGGGGAGCAAACAGG